CGACGGCGUCUCCUCCACGCYUCUUCGGUCGAUGGCACGAGCACUUGCUCGGCCGAUGCGGGCUGUCCUGUGCKGCAUACCGAUCGCGAUGGCAUUGAGUCGGCUAGAAUUGUCCCUUUCCCGCCUUGUGCUGCGGCCUCACGUGGGUCCGCGGCGCGGGGUGGGCCUAAUCGCGCACGUCGCGUGUCGCGCCUCGGUCGCCCUUGCGGGCGUUCCGGACGACGACCCGCGACGUUGCGCUCGAUGUCUCGGGUGCGGUKCACUAUGUGGGCAAGAGGCCGCCGGCCUCCGAGCUCCACAAACGAGCGUUCUACGCUUUGUGCGAGCGACGGUCGGCUCGGUCUCUGUCCGUGCU
rnacentral:misc_RNA from 1 species